CAUGGCAGACCGAUGCCAAGGAAGGCGAGGGUCCUGCGACUGGCUGCUGCUAGGGAUAGCAGGCAGUAGAGAAGUUUCUUUCUGAUUUGAAGUGUGCAGAUUGGGACAACUCGCUUUCUGUGAGCAACCAUCUGAAUGCUAAAAUGUCAUAAAUGGUUGUGAACAGACCAGAUAUGAUUCGCACAUCAGGGCUCAAGAUAUGUGGUUUUGGAUUAGGGUAGGACUCAAGAUAUGUGACUUCCAAGGGAACUGCAAACUCAAGAUAUGUGGUCUUAGACUAGCAAGAUUUGCAUCCAGUGACACCCCUACAACAGUUUUCUGGAUGGACCAUGUCGCCACCUGAUGGUAUAGAGCUCAUGAACUCUGUAAUGUUCUAUCCUUACCAAGUGUUGUUAACAAUUUCCGGAGGCUAACUUAGAGGAAGAUAGAGGAAAGAGCAGGGCAGUUGAGGGGAAGUACAUUUCUCACUGGAGAUUACUAGACAUAUAGGAAGAAUUAUGAAACUAAAAUGGGAUGUUACUGUUGGCAUUUGAUGACAAAGUGAGGCCAAUAUAGAAAAAAACUAAGCUUUUGG